CCUACGGGAGGCAGCAGUGGGGAAUAUUGCACAAUGGGGGAAACCCUGAUGCAGCGACGCCGCGUGAGUGAAGAAGUAAUUCGUUAUGUAAAGCUCUAUCAGCAGGGAAGAAAAUGACGGUACCUGAGUAAGAAGCCCCGGCUAACUACGUGCCAGCAGCCGCGGUAAUACGUAGGGGGCAAGCGUUAUCCGGCUUUACUGGGUGGAAAGGGAGCGUAGACGGCAGUGCAAGUCUGGAGUGAAAGGCGGGGGCUCAACCCCCGGACUGCUCUUGAAACUGUACGGCUGGAGUGCAGGAGAGGUAAGUGGAAUUCCUAGUGUAGCGGUGAAAUGCGUAGAUAUUAGGAGGAACACCAGUGGCGAAGGCGGCUUACUGGACUGUAACUGACGUUGAGGCUCGAAAGCGUGGGGAGCAAACAGGAUUAGAUACCCCAGUAGUC
rnacentral:rRNA from 1 species